CGGGUAGCCGGCCUGAGAGGGCGACCGGCCACACUGGGACUGAGACACGGCCCAUACUCCUACGGGAGGCAGCAGUGGGGAAUAUUGCACAAUGGGCGAAAGCCUGAUGCAGCGACGCCGCGUGAGGGAUGACGGCCUUCGGGUUGUAAACCUCUUUCAGCAGGGAAGAAGCGAAAGUGACGGUACCUGCAGAAGAAGCGCCGGCUAACUACGUGCCAGCAGCCGCGGUAAUACGUAGGGCGCGAGCGUUGUCCGGAAUUAUUGGGCGUAAAGAGCUCGUAGGCGGCUUGUCACGUCGGUUGUGAAAGCCCGGGGCUUAACCCCGGGUCUGCAGUCGAUACGGGCAGGCUAGAGUUCGGUAGGGGAGAUCGGAAUUCCUGGUGUAGCGGUGAAAUGCGCAGAUAUCAGGAGGAACACCGGUGGCGAAGGCGGAUCUCUGGGCCGAUACUGACGCUGAGGAGCGAAAGCGUGGGGAGCGAACAGGAUUAGAUACCCUGGUAGUCCACGCCGUAAACGGUGGGCACUAGGUGUGGGCAACAUUCCACGUUGUCCGUGCCGCAGCUAACGCAUUAAGUGCCCCGCCUGGGGGAGUACGG
rnacentral:rRNA from 1 species